rnacentral:rRNA from 1 species
UGAACGCUGGCGGCGUGCCUAAUACAUGCAAGUCGAGCGAACAGACGAGGAGCUUGCUCCUCUGACGUUAGCGGCGGACGGGUGAGUAACACGUGGAUAACCUACCUAUAAGACUGGGAUAACUUCGGGAAACCGGAGCUAAUACCGGAUAAUAUAUUGAACCGCAUGGUUCAAUAGUGAAAGACGGUUUUGCUGUCACUUAUGGAUGGAUCCGCGCCGCAUUAGCUAGUUGGUAAGGUAACGGCUUACCAAGGCAACGAUGCGUAGCCGACCUGAGAGGGUGAUCGGCCACACUGGAACUGAGACACGGUCCAGACUCCUACGGGAGGCAGCAGUAGGGAAUCUUCCGCAAUGGGCGAAAGCCUGACGGAGCAACGCCGCGUGAGUGAUGAAGGUCUUCGGAUCGUAAAACUCUGUUAUUAGGGAAGAACAAAUGUGUAAGUAACUAUGCACGUCUUGACGGUACCUAAUCAGAAAGCCACGGCUAACUACGUG